ensembl:lncRNA
CAAAUCCCUCAGGACAAUAAUUUAGGAAAAGGAGUUCUGAUUUACAGAAAAUAUCUGGCAGACUUCAUGUACCAGGGAUUGAGCAGCUCUCCUCUCCUCAAAGAUAAUAGCACGGGAGUUAGCUGUGGUCAAAACAGGGGCUUACCAAAGGUCAAGAGAAGAGAGCUGUCUCUAGGUGCAAGCAAGAAGGGAAGACUAGCCUGGAGCUAACUACUGCCAACCCUCCUCUUUCUGCUGAGGAAGACUGGCCCUGAGAUAACAUCCAUGUCCAUCUUCCUCCACUUUAUAUAUGGGACGCCUACCACAGCAUGGUGUGCCAAGCAGUGCCAUGUCCGCACCUGGGAUCUGAACCGGCGAACCCCGGGCCACCUAGAAGUAGAACGUGUGAACUUAACCACUGCGCCACCGGGCCCACCCCUGAUUCUUUAUUUUAAACCUGUGAGAUAUGAAGAAGUGGAUUAAGUAUUAUAAUUUUAUAAAAUGGAACAUUGAAUCUUAGAAAAGUAAGCGAUUUUCUUUGGAUCAGCAAAAUGGAAUUAGAAAAAAUAUUUUAAUUCUCUCACAUAGUAUGGUACAACUGAUGCAUUAGAGGGUUUACUUUUAAUAUUAAGCAACAUUUUACUUAGUUCCUCUUUUCCAAAACCAUUUAUACAACCUGCAAUUGUUAGUGUUUUUCUUGUUACAGUCUUGUGACUCGUGGAGGAUGUACACGAGUGCCGCAAUAAAAAUGAGUUGUUUUGUAACAUGGUAACUGCUGAGAUUAUAAUAUUCCUAAAAGAAUAUCAACAAUGAUUUAAGAAAGGAUGGGGGAAAGGACAACAGAACAUAAUGUUUUUAAAAGAACAUACCCAAGGCCACGUCCCACGUACAAAAUGACUAACCAUCUUUUCUUCUGAGUAAUUGCUGCCUUUUUACAAAUGAUAUACCAAGUCUCUCUUCAUUUUCCACCUUAUAAACAUAAAUAAGAUACUGAAUUGACCAUAGUUCUUGAUAGCAGCCAAUCCAAAAUUAGCCAUUAUCCCUCCUUAGAAUAAUCUAGUACAAGUCCAAACCCUGUAAGAGACAUUCUAACAUCCAAUUCCUAUGAAGUG